GUGUCUUCCGCCCAUUGCAGCCGAAUGGCAAUUGCUUCGGAACCGGAAUCAGUUAGACAGCGCUUAGUCGAUAGAUUCAUGUCCACCGGCAAUACAGAAAGUCUGCAUCUUUGGGCGUAUAAUACCCGACCAGUAGGAGCACACUGGUUGCUGCUUGCUAUUAACCCUAUAAGGGAAGUCGUGUAUUAUCUGAAUUCGGUAAAUGGUGAAUGGACCAAUUAUCCGGCUAUGAAGGACAUCGUUGAUUUAUCAAUACAAGUGUUCCGAAGUCAACGGGACGCACAGGUAUCCUGAACUAAAUCUAACAACAUUACUUGGAUCCAAGUGCAGUGUCCGCAACAGCGAAACAGUUACGAUUGC